rnacentral:misc_RNA from 1 species
GAGGGAAAGAUUACCUGCAAGGCCUGCAUUCUACAAGUACAUUGUUAUUAUGUUCACCUUGAACGCAUUAGCACUAUUUGCCUGUGGGCUAACUGUGAAUGGGACUGAUUUUGGUUUCUGGUUGUACAGCACCACAAUUGUCUGCUACCAUACCUUUUACCUGCCUCUGCUAUAUGUAACAUUUUUAGCGGACUUUUUCCAGGUUAUUAUCAUUAUUGGGGCUGUUUUCUGGACUUUUCUGAACUUUGGUUUUGCCAUUUCUAUUCUCAGUUUUGACGGCCUGGUUUUAAACAUGUAAUUACUAUAAUCAUUGUACAUAUUAUUCUGGUUCUUCUGCAGGAGGAUGAUUUGCAUCUAGAGAAUGUAUACUAUUCAGAGAUGAAAGAUGCCGGUUUCUUUGAUGCUGAUUGGGAGUGAUGCAGUGAGAUUCCGGCUGGAUGACAAUCUGUACAUUGAAGUAACUUACGGAUGGCAAAAGUUGCUGCACUUUAAGAGAUGCUUGUUCAUUCCUUGCUUGACUUGUUCUUUCACUUUAGGUGUGCCGCUUCAUGCAACUCUAUGGUUUUGUUUUUUUUUUAAUUUUUUAUAACAGUAUUUGGAACGCUUUGUUGUGUGACAAUUAGGAACCCAUGUUAAGCCGCAUUAAAAUAUAGCUAUGUAUAAUACAGAAUAAUUGAAGCAUGGAGAUUCU